rnacentral:rRNA from 1 species
CCUAUAAACAUCCUAAGGUAGCGAAAUUCCUUGUCGGGUAAGUUCCGACCUGCACGAAUGGCGUAACGACUUCUCCACUGUCUCAACCGCGAACUCGGCGAAAUUGCACUACGAGUAAAGAUGCUCGUUACGCGCAGCAGGACGGAAAGACCCCGGGACCUUCACUAUAGCUUGGUAUUGGUGAUCGGGACGGCUUGUGUAGGAUAGGUGGGAGACUGUGAAGCAUGCACGCCAGUGUGUGUGGAGUCAUCGUUGAAAUACCACUCUGGUCGUUCUGGUUAUCUAACCUCGGUCCGUGAUCCGGAUCAGGGACAUUGCCUGGUGGGUAGUUUAACUGGGGCGGUUGCCUCCUAAAAUGUAACGGAGGCGCUCAAAGGUUCCCUCAGCCUGGUUGGCAAUCAGGUGGCGAGUGCAAGUGUACAAGGGAGCUUGACUGCGAGACAGACAUGUCGAGCAGGGACGAAAGUCGGAACUAGUGACCCGACGGUGGCUUGUGGAAGCGCCGUCGCUCAACGGAUAAAAGGUACCCCGGGGAUAACAGGCUGAUCUUCCCCAAGAGUCCAUAUCGACGGAUGGUUUGGCACCUCGAUGUCGGCUCGUCGCAUCCUGGGGGUGGAGUAUCUCCCAAGGGUUGGGCUGUUCGCCCAUUAAAGCGGCACGCGAGCUGGGUUUAGAACGUCGUGAGACAGUUCGGUCCCUAUCCGCUGUGCGCGUAGGAAACUUGAGAGAGGCUGACCCUAGUACGAGAGGACCGGGUUGGACGAACCUCUGGUGUGUGAGUUGUUCUGCCAAGGGCACCGCUCAUUAGCUACGUUCGGAAGUGAUAACCGCUGAAAGCAUCUAAGCGGGAAGCAUGUCUCAAGAUGAGGUUUCC